ensembl:lncRNA
AUGAACAUAAAUGCUGUUUUACUUUGCCCCAGAACUUACGUAGAUCAUCCACGCGGCAUAACGCUCUUUGAGGUUAUACAGCACAGAGGGUUCAUUGAGAUGGGUCAUCAUGGCCAUGUCCUCAAUCUUGUCAAACUUGGGAGGAUUCAUUGGGAAGACUUCAUCCUCUUUAACAACUUUCUCCUCCUUAGUGUCAUUCACAAUAACAGUGACUUUGGCACCGUCUUUGCUCUUGAUGGUUCCCUUGACGUACAGCUCUUUAGGCUCAACCACAUAGCAGGCAGUCUUGGCAUCGAAUGGUUUGUUCUGAGCCUCGAUUCUCUCCUUCUCAGGCUUACGAAGGAAAAUGGCAGCCUUGCCAUAAACGGCCAUCUCCGCGUCCGUACUCAUGGUGGCGGCUCACUGGUAAUUGGAAAGGGAAAUUGCAGAGUUUUUAAUAAAUAAAAUUAUAUAGCACCAAACACAAGAUUCAAAUAUAUGUUACACUGCUGAUUCUCCAAAACUCCUGCAUCUUGCCAGCAAAUGUCAAACAAACUGCUUCACAGUACUAGUCUUAUAGCAAUGACAAUUGAAAUGCUGACAUGAGAUGUCAGCCCCUCUACUAUUUCAUACCCCCAUAUAACUGUAUAAAUCUAUUAACACAGACAAACACAUUCAUAAAUCAUUUUAAAUGCUGUUUUUUCCUAUGAAGUUUUGAUUUUAAAUGACAUAAAAAUUUUAACCAAGAUAUCAAAAAGCAAGACUCAUCUGGCAUAUAAUAAUGGGCUACAUACACACAGAUGAAAACAAUCUGAUCAACACAAACAAUGUAAGGGAAAUCCACAUACCUUCCCUUUCCUUGUGACCAGAUAAAAUUUAUUCACCCCUGCAAGACAAUUUACGUUUAAAACUGUAUAAGUGAUACAUUUUAUAAACAGCAGAAAUUUAAAUUGAUGCUGCUUUAUUACAAACUAAAGAGCAACAGAUGUUUUGCUUCCACUUCAGGUUUGAAAUGAAAUUAAUAACAAUUCCAGUGUGUGCUAAUAUAAACUGCAAAGCAACUUACCACCAACUGGAGCUCCUGUCUUAUCAUGCUCUCCCCUACGCUUAUAUUGAGUUGAACUUGUACACUAAGCAGACACUAAAUAUAGACAGGCAUUACAGUUUUAAUUACUGUAUAUAGAAGCUGUCCAUCCACAGUAAGGAAAGCAUAUAACGGCCUAGCUAGAAAUCAGUUCCAAAAUAAAUAAAGUUGUCAUUAAACUAAUGCCUAAAUAUGAGCAGAACAUUAUUAUUAUCAAUUAAUUAUUAUUAUUAUUAUUGAU